rnacentral:misc_RNA from 1 species
UUAACUAUUAUGUAAUACUCGGACAAUACAAAUCAAGAGUUUAGGGUCCUCUGGCAGGCACUGACCAGCUGAAGCCGGUGGUCAAACGACGGGCCUACCAAAGCAACAAAGGUAUUGUAAACAAAGGGUGGAGAUCUACCCCAAGGGGCAAGUUCUCUGUAAUGAUCCUUCCGCAGGUUCACCUACGGAACGCAAGACUCUACAGCCUUUUCAGGCAUAGGCCGGUCAUAUCUAAAUCCAAGAACAUGCUAGGACCACCUUCGUUUGAUCUGUGGACUGCCUAAGCAGCUGAAUGUAACCUAAGUGGUAUCCAAGCACAGUGAAGAUGUCGCCUACACUAGACUGAGUUCCAAGGCUUCUAUAGGUGUUCAUUCCUUAAGGAAA